GGGUUGUGAGGUUAAGCGACUAAGCGUACACGGUGGAUGCCCUGGCAGUCAGAGGCGAUGAAGGACGUGCUAAUCUGCGAUAAGCGUCGGUAAGGUGAUAUGAACCGUUAUAACCGGCGAUUUCCGAAUGGGGAAACCCAGUGUGUUUCGACACACUAUCAUUAACUGAAUCCAUAGGUUAAUGAGGCGAACCGGGGGAACUGAAACAUCUAAGUACCCCGAGGAAAAGAAAUCAACCGAGAUUCCCCCAGUAGCGGCGAGCGAACGGGGAGCAGCCCAGAGCCUGAAUCAGUGUGUGUGUUAGUGGAAGCGUCUGGAAAGGCGCGCGAUACAGGGUGACAGCCCCGUACACAAAAAUGCACAUAUUGUGAGCUCGAUGAGUAGGGCGGGACACGUGGUAUCCUGUCUGAAUAUGGGGGGACCAUCCUCCAAGGCUAAAUACUCCUGACUGACCGAUAGUGAACCAGUACCGUGAGGGAAAGGCGAAAAGAACCCCGGCGAGGGGAGUGAAAAAGAACCUGAAACCGUGUACGUACAAGCAGUGGGAGCCUCUUUAUGGGGUGACUGCGUACCUUUUGUAUAAUGGGUCAGCGACUUAUAUUCUGUAGCAAGGUUAACCGAAUAGGGGAGCCGAAGGGAAACCGAGUCUUAACUGGGCGUUAAGUUGCAGGGUAUAGACCCGAAACCCGGUGAUCUAGCCAUGGGCAGGUUGAAGGUUGGGUAACACUAACUGGAGGACCGAACCGACUAAUGUUGAAAAAUUAGCGGAUGACUUGUGGCUGGGGGUGAAAGGCCAAUCAAACCGGGAGAUAGCUGGUUCUCCCCGAAAGCUAUUUAGGUAGCGCCUCGUGAAUUCAUCUCCGGGGGUAGAGCACUGUUUCGGCAAGGGGGUCAUCCCGACUUACCAACCCGAUGCAAACUGCGAAUACCGGAGAAUGUUAUCACGGGAGACACACGGCGGGUGCUAACGUCCGUCGUGAAGAGGGAAACAACCCAGACCGCCAGCUAAGGUCCCAAAGUCAUGGUUAAGUGGGAAACGAUGUGGGAAGGCCCAGACAGCCAGGAUGUUGGCUUAGAAGCAGCCAUCAUUUAAAGAAAGCGUAAUAGCUCACUGGUCGAGUCGGCCUGCGCGGAAGAUGUAACGGGGCUAAACCAUGCACCGAAGCUGCGGCAGCGACACUAUGUGUUGUUGGGUAGGGGAGCGUUCUGUAAGCCUGUGAAGGUGUGCUGUGAGGUAUGCUGGAGGUAUCAGAAGUGCGAAUGCUGACAUAAGUAACGAUAAAGCGGGUGAAAAGCCCGCUCGCCGGAAGACCAAGGGUUCCUGUCCAACGUUAAUCGGGGCAGGGUGAGUCGACCCCUAAGGCGAGGCCGAAAGGCGUAGUCGAUGGGAAACAGGUUAAUAUUCCUGUACUUGGUGUUACUGCGAAGGGGGGACGGAGAAGGCUAUGUUGGCCGGGCGACGGUUGUCCCGGUUUAAGCGUGUAGGCUGGUUUUCCAGGCAAAUCCGGAAAAUCAAGGCUGAGGCGUGAUGACGAGGCACUACGGUGCUGAAGCAACAAAUGCCCUGCUUCCAGGAAAAGCCUCUAAGCAUCAGGUAACAUCAAAUCGUACCCCAAACCGACACAGGUGGUCAGGUAGAGAAUACCAAGGCGCUUGAGAGAACUCGGGUGAAGGAACUAGGCAAAAUGGUGCCGUAACUUCGGGAGAAGGCACGCUGAUAUGUAGGUGAAGUCCCUUGCGGAUGGAGCUGAAAUCAGUCGAAGAUACCAGCUGGCUGCAACUGUUUAUUAAAAACACAGCACUGUGCAAACACGAAAGUGGACGUAUACGGUGUGACGCCUGCCCGGUGCCGGAAGGUUAAUUGAUGGGGUUAGCGGUAACGCGAAGCUCUUGAUCGAAGCCCCGGUAAACGGCGGCCGUAACUAUAACGGUCCUAAGGUAGCGAAAUUCCUUGUCGGGUAAGUUCCGACCUGCACGAAUGGCGUAAUGAUGGCCAGGCUGUCUCCACCCGAGACUCAGUGAAAUUGAACUCGCUGUGAAGAUGCAGUGUACCCGCGGCAAGACGGAAAGACCCCGUGAACCUUUACUA
rnacentral:rRNA from 1 species